UACGUAGGGUGCGAGCGUUGUCCGGAUUUAUUGGGCGUAAAGAGCUUGUAGGCGGCUCGUCACGUCGGGUGUGAAAACUCGCGGCUCAACCGCGAGCCUGCACCCGAUACGGGCGGGCUAGAGUUCGGUAGGGGAGACUGGAAUUCCUGGUGUAGCGGUGGAAUGCGCAGAUAUCAGGAGGAACACCGGUGGCGAAGGCGGGUCUCUGGGCCGAUACUGACGCUGAGAAGCGAAAGCGUGGGGAGCGAACAGG
rnacentral:rRNA from 1 species